rnacentral:rRNA from 1 species
CCUACGGGCGGCAGCAGUGGGGAAUAUUGCACAAUGGGGGAAACCCUGAUGCAGCGACGCCGCGUGAGCGAUGAAGUAUUUCGGUAUGUAAAGUUCUAUCAGCAGGGAAGAAAAUGACGGUACCUGACUAAGAAGCCCCGGCUAACUACGUGCCAGCAGCCGCGGUAAUACGUAGGGGGCAAGCGUUAUCCGGAUUUACUGGGUGUAAGGGGAGCGUAGGCGGACUGUUAAGUCAGCGGUAAAAGCCCGGGGCUCAACCCCGGCGAGCCGUUGAAACUGGCUGUCUUGAGAUGUCGAGAGGUAUGCGGAAUGCGCAGUGUAGCGGUGAAAUGCUUAGAUAUUGCGCAGAACUCCGAUUGCGAAGGCAGCAUACCGGCGGCGAUCUGACGCUGAGGCACGAAAGCGUGGGUAUCGAACAGGAUUAGAUACCCCGGUAGUC